GAGCGGCGGACGGGUGAGUAAUGCCUAGGAAAUUGCCCUGAUGUGGGGGAUAACCAUUGGAAACGAUGGCUAAUACCGCAUAAUGCCUACGGGCCAAAGAGGGGGACCUUCGGGCCUCUCGCGUCAGGAUAUGCCUAGGUGGGAUUAGCUAGUUGGUGAGGUAAUGGCUCACCAAGGCGACGAUCCCUAGCUGGUCUGAGAGGAUGAUCAGCCACACUGGAACUGAGACACGGUCCAGACUCCUACGGGAGGCAGCAGUGGGGAAUAUUGCACAAUGGGCGCAAGCCUGAUGCAGCCAUGCCGCGUGUGUGAAGAAGGCCUUCGGGUUGUAAAGCACUUUCAGUCGUGAGGAAGGUGGUAGUGUUAAUAGCCCUAUCAUUUGACGUUAGCGACAGAAGAAGCACCGGCUAACUCCGUGCCAGCAGCCGCGGUAAUACGGAGGGUGCGAGCGUUAAUCGGAAUUACUGGGCGUAAAGCGCAUGCAGGUGGUUUGUUAAGUCAGAUGUGAAAGCCCGGGGCUCAACCUCGGAAUAGCAUUUGAAACUGGCAGACUAGAGUACUGUAGAGGGGGGUAGAAUUUCAGGUGUAGCGGUGAAAUGCGUAGAGAUCUGAAGGAAUACCGGUGGCGAAGGCGGCCCCCUGGACAGAUACUGACACUCAGAUGCGAAAGCGUGGGGAGCAAACAGGAUUAGAUACCCUGGUAGUCCACGCCGUAAACGAUGUCUACUUGGAGGUUGUGGCCUUGAGCCGUGGCUUUCGGAGCUAACGCGUUAAGUAGACCGCCUGGGGAGUACGGUCGCAAGAUUAAAACUCAAAUGAAUUGACGGGGGCCCGCACAAGCGGUGGAGCAUGUGGUUUAAUUCGAUGCAACGCGAAGAACCUUACCUACUCUUGACAUCCAGAGAACUUUCCAGAGAUGGAUUGGUGCCUUCGGGAACUCUGAGACAGGUGCUGCAUGGCUGUCGUCAGCUCGUGUUGUGAAAUGUUGGGUUAAGUCCCGCAACGAGCGCAACCCUUAUCCUUGUUUGCCAGCGAGUAAUGUCGGGAACUCCAGGGAGACUGCCGGUGAUAAACCGGAGGAAGGUGGGGACGACGUCAAGUCAUCAUGGCCCUUACGAGUAGGGCUACACACGUGCUACAAUGGCGCAUACAGAGGGCAGCAAGCUAGCGAUAGUGAGCGAAUCCCAAAAAGUGCGUCGUAGUCCGGAUUGGAGUCUGCAACUCGACUCCAUGAAGUCGGAAUCGCUAGUAAUCGUGGAUCAGAAUGCCACGGUGAAUACGUUCCCGGGCCUUGUACACACCGCCCGUCACACCAUGGGAGUGGG
rnacentral:rRNA from 1 species